rnacentral:rRNA from 1 species
GAUCUGGCUCAGGGUGAACGCUAGCGACAGGCUUAACACAUGCAAGUCGAGGGGCAGCACAGGGUAGCAAUACUUGGGUGGCGACCGGCGCACGGGUGAGUAACGCGUAUGCAACUUACCUAUCAGAGGGGGAUAGCCCGGCGAAAGUCGGAUUAAUACCCCAUGAAACAGGGGUCCCGCAUGGGAAUAUUUGUUAAAGAUUCAUCGCUGAUAGAUAGGCAUGCGUUCCAUUAGGCAGUUGGG